rfam:TPA: Bos taurus chromosome 12, whole genome shotgun sequence.
AGUUCCAUGGUAUAAUGGUGAGCACUCUGGACUCUGAAUCCAGAGAUCUGAGUUCGAGUCUCAGGGGGACCU